ACGAACGCUGGCGGCGUGCUUAACACAUGCAAGUCGAACGGAAAGGCCCUGCUUUUGUGGGGUGCUCGAGUGGCGAACGGGUGAGUAACACGUGAGUAACCUGCCCUUGACUUUGGGAUAACUUCAGGAAACUGGGGCUAAUACCGGAUAGGAGCUCCUGCUGCAUGGUGGGGGUUGGAAAGUUUCGGCGGUUGGGGAUGGACUCGCGGCUUAUCAGCUUGUUGGUGGGGUAGUGGCUUACCAAGGCUUUGACGGGUAGCCGGCCUGAGAGGGUGACCGGCCAUAUUGGGACUGAGAUACGGCCCAGACUCCUACGGGAGGCAGCAGUGGGGAAUAUUGCACAAUGGGCGGAAGCCUGAUGCAGCAACGCCGCGUGCGGGAUGACGGCCUUCGGGUUGUAAACCGCUUUCGCCUGUGACGAAGCGUGAGUGACGGUAAUGGGUAAAGAAGCACCGGCUAACUACGUG
rnacentral:rRNA from 1 species